UACGUAGGUGGCUAGCGUUGUCCGGAUUUACUGGGCGUAAAGAGCUCGUAGGCGGUCUGUCACGUCGGCUGUGAAAUCCCGAGGCUCAACCUCGGGUCUGCAGUCGAUACGGGCAAACUAGAGUAUUGCAGGGGAGACUGGAAUUCCUGGUGUAGCGGUGAAAUGCGCAGAUAUCGGGAAGAACACCCGUGGCGAAGGCGGCUCUCUGGAACGCAACUGACGCUGAGACGCGAAAGCGUGGGGAGCAAACAGG
rnacentral:rRNA from 1 species